ACACACCGCCCGUCACACCAUGAGAGCUGCGAACACCCAAAGCCGGUAGCCUAACCGCAAGGAGGGCGCUGUCUAAGGUGGGUGUGGUAAUUGGGGUGAAGUCGUAACAAGGUACC
rnacentral:rRNA from 1 species